UAAUACGGAGGGUGCAAGCGUUAUCCGGAUUUAUUGGGUUUAAAGGGUCCGUAGGCGGAUCUGUAAGUCAGUGGUGAAAUCUCACAGCUUAACUGUGAAACUGCCAUUGAUACUGCAGGUCUUGAGUAAAUUUGAAGUGGCUGGAAUAAGUAGUGUAGCGGUGAAAUGCAUAGAUAUUACUUAGAACACCAAUUGCGAAGGCAGGUCACUAAGAUUUAACUGACGCUGAUGGACGAAAGCGUGGGGAGCGAACAGGAUUAGAUACCCUGGUAGUCCACGCCGUAAACGAUGCUAACUCGUUUUUGGGGUUUCGGCUUCAGAGACUAAGCGAAAGUGAUAAGUUAGCCACCUGGGGAGUACGUUCGCAAGAAUGAAACUCAAAGGAAUUGACGG
rnacentral:rRNA from 1 species